rnacentral:rRNA from 1 species
AUGGAUGCUGCUCUGCACAUUGUCCCGGGUUGGCAGAGGGGUUUUGUGACCCGGCCAGGGAGGCUGAUUCUGGUAAAUCAGGUCAUGAGGGCUAGGCCGACGCACCAUCUGAUUGUUGCCGAGGCACCUAAAUGGGCAUUGGAGCGGUUGGACAAAGGGUGCUGUGCAUUCUUCUGGGCUGGUUCUGAGGAAAUCCAUGGUGGCAGGUGUUUAGUGUCUUGGAAACGUGUAUGCAGACCAAAGGAGCUCGGUGGUCUGGGGGUCAUCGACUUACACAAGCAAGGGAUCGCGCUCCGGAUGUGGUGGGAAUGGCUGUCCAGGACUGAUGCCACGCGGCCGUGGCAGGGACUAAACUGGACUCUUGACAAGCAAGCAAGCGCAGCGUUUGCUAGCCUUGUGAAAUGGCAGGUUGGCGAGGGUUCCAAGGUCAUGUUCUGGAAGGAUCGGUGGAUCGGUGGGCUACGAUCGGUGAGCUGGCACCACUUAUUUACAAACGGGUCUGAACACAAGUGGUGA